UCCCGCUUAUCACGGGCAGUUUCCUUAGAGUGCCCACCAUGACGUGCUGGUAACUAAGGACGAGGGUUGCGCUCGUUGCGGGACUUAACCCAACAUCUCACGACACGAGCUGACGACAGCCAUGCAACACCUGUCUUCCCUCCGGCCGAACCGAAGAGGCUCUAUUACAAGCCUCCGUAAGGGAGAUGUCAAAAGGUGGUAAGGUUUUUCGCGUAGCAUCGAAUUAAACCACAUGCUCCACCGCUUGUGCGGGUCCCCGUCAAUUCCUUUGAGUUUUAAUCUUGCGACCGUACUCCCCAGGCGGGGUGCUUAACGCGUUAGCUACGACACCGAAGCAUAAAGCCCCGAUAUCUAGCACCCAUCGUUUACGGCGUGGACUAC
rnacentral:misc_RNA from 1 species